rfam:Triticum aestivum genome assembly, contig: Triticum_aestivum_CS42_TGACv1_scaffold_376617_5AL
UUUUUACUCUCUCCGUCCGAAAAUAUUUGUCAUCAAAAUGGAUAAGAAGAGGUGUAUCUAUAACUAAAAUACAUCUAGAUAUAUUUUUUUUAUUCAUUUUGAUGACAAGUAUUUCUGAACGAUGGGAGUAUAAG